rnacentral:lncRNA from 1 species
ACCGAUGACCCCACAAUUAAACUUAAUGAAAAUUAACCUUGAUUUCUUUGGACGCUUCACAUAUUUAGUUAACUCCCUACAAAAUAUCUCCUCUUGGUCUACUCUACGCAACCUCACACUUGACACCUAAACUUGAAUUCACAAUCUCCCUAAUCUUAUAUAUCAAAUGGUAAUUUUUAACCUCCCCAAAUGACACUGUCUUCUUCCUAAUUUUGCAACUUGGAAACAAGGGAAUCAUUCUUCAUAACCCUGUUUUCCUCAUACCUUUUGCUAAUCCAUCUCCAGAACCUGUCAUUUUAUGUCUAACUACAUCUCGAUCGUAUCCACUUCUGGUUCACCUGGAUGACUCUAAUAGUUUCCUAACAGGCCUCCCCAAAUCAACCCUUUCCAUAUCAAAUGCACCUACUUGCUCCAACACAUAUUCAUAUGAUCCAUUCUAAGCACUGAAGCCAAAGUUGCCAUCUACCCUUACAAACUUUUCAAAUGCUUUCUGUUGGUUUUAUCUUGGCCUCCAUCUCCUUGCCUUCAUGUACAAUUCCAUUUCAUGUCAUUCUUCUCUUUGAUCUGGCCACAUCAGUUACCCAAAUGCAUCAGGUUCUCUCCAGCCAUGGGCCCUUGACCUGAAAUGCUAACUACCCUCUCUGUUAUGGGAUGAAUUGUGUCCCUCAAAAAUAUGUUUAAUUCUAACCCCCAUAUCUGUGAAUGUGAGCUUAUUUCAGAAUAAGAUCUUCACAGAUGUAAUCAAGUUGCAAUGAGGUCAUUAGGAUGGGCCUGAAUUCAAUAUGACUGUUGUUAGGAUAAGGGAAAAUUUGGACACAGAGGCAUGCAUGCACAAAAGAUAAUGUGGAGAUACAAGGGGAGAAUGCCAUGUCAUGAUGAAGGCCAAGAUUGGAACAUCUUGGCUGCCACAAGCCAAGGAACACUGAAUCAUUCUUGAUAACUCUAUUUUCCUCAUACCUUUUACUAAUCCAUUUCCAGAACCUGUCAUUUUAUGUCUAACUACAUCUCAAUCCUUUACAAUUCUGGUUCACUAAUUGGUCUCCCUAAAUCAACCCUUUCCAUAUCAAAUGCCCCUACUUGCUCCAUCACAAGACUUCUAUCCUAUAGAACUGUGAGAGAAUAAAUGUUUGUUUCUUUAAGUCACUCAGCUUGUGGUUCUUUGUUACAGCAGCCCUAAGAAAGGAACACUCCUUUUCACUCCUUCAUCUUUUAGAUCUCAAUUCAAUAAUCACAGGACACUUUCCAUUUAAAUAUGUGAGUAGUUCAAAUUAUUCAGUCCCUGUUCCAUUCUAGUCUCUCUCAGUGUAAGGAUAUUUGCUGUUUUUUUUUUUUUAAACUUGUUGUUGCAUUUCAACACCUACAUAAUGGCUGUCAUAUAGAACACAAUCAGUAACACAGACCUAAACUUUAAAAAUUAAUAAUUUAUUAUUACAUGCCUAUGUUAUGGGAAUGAAGUGAGAGUUAAAGAGAAAAUGUACACAAAAGCAACUAAUAAAUAUGCAUGUGUGUAUGUGUGUGUGUAUAUAUAUAUAUGCCAGUAUUUCAAUUUAUGAUUGAAUGUAAGUGAUAUUUCAUGAAGCCAUGAAUUCAAUUUUGAAGUAAUGGUGAGGAUAUUUUGUGAUGAGAUGGAUAGCAACAGAAUUCCUUUCUCUUUUUGAGCUUUAUGAUUUAAUUUGCUUGCUAUAUUGAUCUGAAGCAGCAACCUAUUAUUGAAACUAGGACAGAAAAAUACUAGAUUUGGUAGAGACCUGAGCAAUCUGUCAUCUUUGUGAAUAAAACACAAAUAUGACAUGUUUCAGGCACUGAAAUUUCUAAUGAUAUUAACCUCUAGAGAAAUUUGACUCGCUGACCUGAUACUAAAAGAUACAUUCUGCAUCUUCUCUGGGGAAUCUAAGACUUACCCAGGUGAUUAGGCAUUUUAUCAUCACUGGCAAAAUAUCUUUUGGUUGUAUAAUGCAUCUUAUGAAAUUAACAAGUGCAUAGUUAUUUAAUUAGGAUUUUCAGCAGUUAAUUAAAAUAUGUUCUUGAUAUUUAUCUGUUUUCCUUUUCUUUUCUGAAAAUGUAAGUUUAGAUCUCCCCUAUCGAAAAGUUCUUGCACUCUCUGUCCACAAAAACCCUCCCAUAUCAUGCCCUUUCUCUGAAUAGUGUUUUGAGUCAUUAUAUUUUCUCCAAUUAUUUU